CGUUCACGGUACAGGAGGGCAGCGGAUAAGAGCGGCAGCUCUCCUCCCACCGUCCACUUGCUCUGAACCAAGGCACCGGCGUGUGCCUCGAGCCUGCCGUCACACACACCUCCAGCCCACUGAGAGCGAGGAAAGCCCCCAAAGACGAGUGGAAACAUGCUGCAGUAACGUCCCCUCUGAACCGAGGCUGGACCUGGUGCCACUCUCCGCGCUCCCGCGCCUCCCUUUUCUUCGUCUGCGGCGUGAAAGUUCACCUGUGCCAGCCUUCAGCGACCCGCGCCCUGCUCCACCAGCCACCCGCUGCUGGCCACCUUUGCGGGGGAUACGUGCGAGCAAGCUUGGUCCUGGGAACUCCAGUCAAGUCACCUCAGACAGAGAGCUUCAUGGUGAGUGGGAUGCUUGUGCUCUGGAAGCAGGACUGACGGAAGGAGCAUGGUGAAACACCAACCGCUGCAAGUCUACGAACGACAGCUAUGUUUGUCAUGCAUCACGGGCAUCUAUGGUUGCCGUUGGAAACGCUACCAGCGUUCACACGACGACACCACAAAGUGGGAGCUCCUGUGGUCGCUCAUCCUCCUGCUCACCUUCUGUGGACUGCUGGUCUGGUCCUACUUCUGGUUGGAGGCUCGGAAUGACUACAAUGAGUUCAACUGGUUCCUGUACAACCGCUCUGGGGAGUGGAGCGAUGGCACUGUUCCCAUCCUGGCCACCACCGCCGCCGGCCUCACCUACAUCACUUUCCUGAUGGUGUUAGCUGUGUGCCACGUCGCUCUGGGCCAGCAGUUGAAUUUGCAUUGGCUCCACAAGAUAGGGGUGACGGCUGCUCUGCUCACGACGAUUGUGGGAGUGAUAUCAGUCAACCAAACGUGGGGCCGGGAGUGGGACGUCCUGCCAGUCUCCCUGCAGGCGACCGGUCCGUUCCUGCACGUUGGGGCGCUCGCUGCCAUCACAGCGCUGUCCUGGAUCGUGGCUGGGCAGGUGGCUCGUGCUGAAAAAACACUGUUCCAGGUUGUGGUGAUGCUGCUGUAUCUCAGUCUUCUGCUGGGCCUCUAUGUGGCGCCGCUGUACAUCACCUCGCCCUGUAUCAUGGAGCCCACCGACCUCAAACCUCGACCCAGCGUGAUCGGGCACCAGGGGGCGCCCACGCUGGCCCCUGAAAACACACUGUGGUCUUUCCAGAGAGCCCUGCAGAUGAAUGUGACUGGCUUUGAGGCUGACGUGGCCAUUAGUGUGGAUGGGGUCCCUUUCCUGAUGCGGGACCAGACGCUGCAGCGCACCACUGACGUUCACAAGGUUUUCCCCGACAGGCAGACGGAGGACGCCUCACUCUUCAACUGGACGGAUGUGCAGCAGCUUAACGCCGGACAGUGGUUUCUGAAGAAUGACCCCUUCUGGACGGUACACACCUUGACCCCGCAUGAGAGGAGCCUGAUCGCCAAUCAGAGUGUGUGCAGCCUGGAGCAGCUGCUGAAGCUGGCCUCCUACCACAAUAGCUCGGUGGUGUUCAGGCUGAGGCGCCCACCUGUGGACCACCCCUGCCACCACAGCUGGAUCAACCACACGCUGCAGACCGUGCUCAAGUCGGGGGUUCCUCAGGGCCUGGUGAUGUGGACGCCGAGCGAGGACAGGGGUCAGGUGCGACGGCAGGCUCCCGGUCUCAUCCAGACAUCGCUGGUGAAACAGAGCCCUGAAACCCUCCGAGAAAAUGAAAUCCGUGGCCUGCUGCUUCGCUACAACCAGGCCAACACAAAGGAAAUCAGGGACUUCACUCAGAGGAACGUCAGCCUCACGCUCUACACUGUCAAUCAGCCCUGGCUGUACUCGCUGCUGUGGUGCAGCGGCGUCUCGGCCGUCGCCUCCGAGGCCCCUCAGGUCCUCAGAAAGGUGCCUUACCCCAUCUGGCUCUUGAAGCCGGAUCAGUACUGUCUGAUGUGGGUCUCUGCGGACGUCCUCUCCUUCGCCGUGGUGAUAGGAAUAUUUAUUUUCCAGAACUAUCACAUGAUCAGGUAUCGCAGCAGCGGGAUGCACAGCUACAACCCUGAGCAGAUCAUGCUGAGCGCCGCCGCCGUCCGCAGGUCCAGCCCAGACCUCAGUGUGAUGAAGGAGAAGCUGAUCUUCUCCGGUACGACCCGCAGCUGACGCCGUGUCAUGUCCCAGCAUGCAUCUCUCUGGAGUGUCUGUCAGUCUUCUAGCGGCGCCUCCUCCCUCUGCUCCGAAGGUCAACCCCAGUAGCUCCUGAUUGGUCAUCCUCACUGUGUGUGACGUGCACCCCCCCCCUCAUCUCCCGCUCCACCCGUGACUCCUCCCUCUUCUCCAUGCAUCCCUCAUGUUUCCCUUCAUCCAUCCAUCCACCCCUCCUGCCCUUCACACCUUCCUCACCAGCCAGCUUGCCUCCUGGCAGACUCGUGUACUGGGGGUCAAAGAAGUGGGGAACGGAGUCGGUGGCCCUGAGGAGAUGUACACGGACGACUACGACUACUACAGUCACCGAGGCGUCCGCCGCUGACCCCGGGUCACAUGAGGGCCCGGUGUAAAUAGUUCAGUGUCCUGCCUGCCUGACACCGCUGCAUGGAAAUGCCUCUUAAUGACCACUCCAGCGUCCCGCUGAUGUUUUAAGCUUGUUUUCUAGAGCAGGUCCUUGUUUUUAAUCGCCGUCGGGCCUGUUCUUUUGAACGGCCGCAGCGACUCCUGCCUUCUGUCAGCUUCCCUGCUGAGCUGUUGUUGUUACUGUAUUAUUUAUAUCCAACAUGGAAAACCCAAAACUAUACACACAAGCUGUUUACAGAAGCCCCGCCUUCUCUGAUGGACGUAAGCACAUGCUGUUGGAGACAUGGAACCAACGACUGCUGUUUUUAUGGUUUACGUGAAUGACUUUUUGUUUUUAUUUUUUACAAAUGGUGUUUCUUGUGACUGUAUAUUUCUGUAAAAAAGGUGCAUUGAAGCAGGUGACGACAGCAGAAGUUCCACAGGUGGUUGUUGUUGUUGUUGUUUUGGGGAUGUGAAGUGAACACUGUAAAUAAAGUGGCUGAUGAAGAUGAAGCUCCGAGCACGACUGCAGGCUCGUGAUCUUUACUGUUAAUGUUGACCUGUACCGUGUAUUACUGUGCCUCUGACAAUAAAACGACUCCGAAUACCAGCUUUCACAAGUCCGUCUGGUCCUUAAAUAAAACCAGAAGAUUUAUUUUG